rnacentral:rRNA from 1 species
UGCUCCCUACGGGGGGCAGCAGUGAGGAAUAUUGGUCAAUGGGAGAGAUCCUGACCCAGCCAAGCCGCGUGAGGGAAGACGGCCCUAUGGGUCGUAACCCUCUUUUGUCGGAGAACAAAACCCGGGACGUGUCCCGGACUGCGUGUAUCCGAAGAAAAAGCAUCGGCUAACUCCGUGCCAGCAGCCGCGGUAAUACGGAGGAUGCGAGCGUUAUCCGGAUUUAUUGGGUUUAACGGGUGCGUAGGCGGUCCGUUAAGUCAGCGGUAAAAUUGC